AGUGAACGCUGGCGGUAGGCCUAACACAUGCAAGUCGAACGGCAGCACAGUAAGAGCUUGCUCUUACGGGUGGCGAGUGGCGGACGGGUGAGGAAUACAUCGGAAUCUACUUUUUCGUGGGGGAUAACGUAGGGAAACUUACGCUAAUACCGCAUACGACCUACGGGUGAAAGCAGGGGAUCUUCGGACCUUGCGCGAUUGAAUGAGCCGAUGUCGGAUUAGCUAGUUGGCGGGGUAAAGGCCCACCAAGGCGACGAUCCGUAGCUGGUCUGAGAGGAUGAUCAGACGCACUGCAACGGAGAAGGGGUCCAAAGUGAGGAGGGGGGGGCGCGUGGGAGAUAUUGGACGAGGGGGGUGCGCUAGAUCGCGCGAUCAGGCGGGGUUGAAGAAGGCGUUGAGGUUGUAAGGCCCUUGUGUAGAAAAAGAAAAGAAGCAUAUGAAUCACCCGAUGGUAGGACGCUACCAGAAGAACAAGCACCGGCUAACUUCGUGCCAGCAGACGCGGUAAUACUCGGAAGAGCACACGUCGGAGC
rnacentral:rRNA from 1 species